AGGACGAACGCUGGCGGCGUGCUUAACACAUGCAAGUCGAGCGGAAAGGCCCUUCGGGGUACUCGAGCGGCGAACGGGUGAGUAACACGUGAGCAAUCUGCCCUUAGCUUCGGGAUAGCCCCGGGAAACCGGGAUUAAUACCGAAUAUGACCUCGGCCGACAUCGGCCUUAGUGGAAAGUUUUUCGGCUAGGGAUGAACUCGCGGCCUAUCAGCUUGUUGGUGGGGUAAUGGCCUACCAAGGCGACGACGGGUAGCCGGCCUGAGAGGGCGACCGGCCACACUGGGACUGAGACACGGCCCAGACUCCUACGGGAGGCAGCAGUGGGGAAUAUUGCGCAAUGGGCGAAAGCCUGACGCAGCGACGCCGCGUGGGGGAUGAAGGCCUUCGGGUUGUAAACCCCUUUCAGCAGGGACGAAGCGAGAGUGACGGUACCUGCAGAAGAAGCGCCGGCUAACUACGCGCCAGCAGCCGC
rnacentral:rRNA from 1 species